rnacentral:misc_RNA from 1 species
UCCGAGUUGACCCCGGCAGUAUCCCAUGAGUUCCCACCAUUACGUGCUGGCAACAUAGAACGAGGGUUGCGCUCGUUGCGGGACUUAACCCAACAUCUCACGACACGAGCUGACGACAACCAUGCACCACCUGUGCUGGAUCCCGAAGGAUCACCGUGUUUCCACGGAUUUCCGUGCAUGUCAAGCCUAGGUAAGGUUCUUCGCGUCGCGUCGAAUUAAACCACAUGCUCCGCUGCUUGUGCGGGCCCCCGUCAAUUCCUUUGAGUUUUAGCCUUGCGGCCGUACUCCCCAGGCGGGGUGCUUAAUGCGUUAGCGACGGCACCGGGAGGGUCGCUCCCCCCGACGCCUAGUGCCCAUCGUUUACGGCGUGGACU